ACAAAAUGUAAAAGUAAAUUCAUUCAAAUGUGUUAAUUUAACAAAAUUCAUCUAUUAUUUAACCUAAACUGUAUUAAUUGGUUGUAUUAAUUCAAGCUGUUUCGGUGGCUUUUCUCGAGUGUUAAUUUCAUCUUGAAUUUGCUCUAGCUGAUUGACAUUAAUUAAGUUAACAGAUAUAAAAAAGGUGUAGGUUGAAUACACAUUUUGCUGUGUUUUUACAGUUUCAACAAUCUUUUUUUUGUCUUAUUUCUUGUGUUAAUGAUCAAAUGGUCCAUUAAUUUGAUCGCUAUACUGGUAAUAUAUUAUGCCUAAUUAGACCUGAUUUUGGUUUUCCCUUUGCUGAUUCAAUGGAUGAUUGAUUUUUUCAUCAUUUUCCAUUUUCUUCCAUCAACAUGCUGCAUUAAAAUGGAUACAAACCAAAAGUAAACUGAGAAAGUAAUUUGCUAUUGAUAAAUACCUUGAAUCAACUUUAAUUACUUGCAGUUUAUUUUAAUGUUAAUGAUUCAUGUUUUUCUUCAUGUGAAUUACUCCUCUUCUUACCGAUUUUUUAUAUACACAUGGAUAUUCAUUCACAUGUACAUGUCUUGAUGCCAUUUUUUCACCAAUCAGUGGAAUUAUUGUUUAGGUCUUUGGCAUGAAAAUUUUUUUGCUGAUGUAAAACGAGAUGUGGAGGUUGCAUUUUUAAUGACUUACUAAUGGCAAUCAACUCUUUAACAUGGUUUACUUCCUCAUCUAAUCAACCUCAAAGGACAUUUCAGAGGAAUCGGAAAUGGUUUUACCCUUUACACCAGAAAAUGUCAAAAAUUAUGAUGAAACAAAGUAAUGGCUUGACUUUGCCUAUUAACUUUAUGGAACCAACUUAAACCCAGUUAUCAAUGGAGUUGAACAUUCAUUUACUUGAAACAGUAAAAUUAUCUAUUCUCGACUAAACAUCAUUAUCAUCACCAUUAUCAUCAUCAAUUCAUUCUCAAAAUCAGUUAUUAUAUUAUUAUGAUGACUCGUAACUCCAUAUAUUCAAAGGAGUUAUAAUCCUUUCUACAGACUGAAACAUUGGAAACAAGACUCAUUUCAAGGCAAUCUUUUGGAAACAGAUCAUUACUCGGAAGUCUCUCAAGUCAGUCAUGAUCCACCUUUUAUCUCGCUUUCCCUCUGUUUUUACACCAUUUAUCUCACCAUGUGCUUGUACGAGUUUCUUCUUCCUCACAAUCUUCAGAUGAUUUCCGGAACCCAAAAGGAACACGUUCAAAAUGUGAAAUAAUUUUGGUGCAAACAAGAAUCCAAUCAUGGUUACAAUACUUAUGAUACUGUUGAUAAUGAUGGCAUCAUUUAUACAAGCUCCUCCAAAUUUAUUUAUCUCUUAAACGGACCGACAAUAUAAUAAUAAUAACAAUAGGACCUAACACUGAAAACCAGAAGAUAAUACAUAAUAUCAAGAGAUAUUGUGAGUAAAAUGCUUCUCAAAAUAAUUGAUAAUUUGAUUUACCUUCAUUCAAUUUCACUAUUCACAGCAUUUAAAAAGAUGAAAAUUUUCCCUGCUUCAUCCAGACAAACUUGGAUAUUAACCUUUUCGUUUACAAAUAUUAUUGCCCUCUUUUUCAUUAUUAUUAUGAUUAUGAUUAUUAUUGACUUGAUACCAUUUAUCAUGUUAAACCCACAAACUUAUUCAACAUUGUUUGAGAUACACACACAAAAGGAGAUUUGUGACUGGGAAAGAUGCAAAGGAACCACCAAAAACAACAAGAUAUCCAUAAGACUACAGGGCAUAUUGGAUACAGACAAGAUUUAAAUAUUACAAUACAAGCCUGAUGUAAAAGCCUCCGUAAAUUGCUGUUGUACCUCCAAUGAUUCUGUUAAUCUGUUACCCAAUUUGUAUUGACAGUUUCGUGUCUCUUUAUGAUUACAACUCUAAUACCAAGCCCAAAUGUUCAAAUUAACCUAACAGUUAGACCAGAGCAAAACGUAACACUAUCUUUGGUUAUUACUGAAAAUUAUUGGUAAUAUUCAUUUGCGAUGGAAAAGUCAUUCUUUAAGCAGACGUAAAAAAUUUUCGUUCGAGUUAGAGUUGAAUCUUUGUUGGUUGUAGACUCAUAAACUGAUUCCAUUCCAACAGAUUAACGGUUCAGUGGAUGCUGAUCUGCUUUCAAUAUCACACACAUUAUCAUCAUCUUCAUCAUCUUAUCAUCACCAUUAACAUGACACACAGUCAGAUCAGAGGGCCAAAAAGUCUAUGACUUCAAUUGAAAAAAUAUAUAAAAUAGCAAACAAAUUGAAUGCAAAAAUUUGUCUCCAUUCAAAUUUGAUUCACAUUUUUUGAACCGUUGCUUGUAGCAUUAUUGAAUACUUUAUACGUGACUUUUGAGAUGGACCAAGAAGAUGAUGAUGAUGAGAAGAGCAAUGAUGAAGAAUGACUUGUGGAGAUGAAAUGAUGAUAAAAGAUAAGGUAUGAAAUGUUAUCCAUUGUCUUUCAAUGGAUAUCAUUGCACUAAACAUGAGCUUCAAUUGAUCUCAAGAGGCAAAAAUUGUAAUUUUCAGUUGGACUAUCAAAUUGGCGAUAAUGACAAUGAUGACAAUGGCGAGGAUCAAUAUGAUGGUACAUCUUACAAUGUACAGAAAUGAGUCGAUGAAUUAUACUUGGAUAGUUCCAUUCAGUGUUUAUUAUUUUUCAUCUUUACCCUCUUAGACUCUUUUGUCACAUUUUUCAUUCCAUUUGAUACUCUUGUUGAAAGAAGAGAGUUGAAAAAACUGUUGAAAUCUGUCGAUCCAACUUAAUGUGACCUUUUUUUAUCCCAUUAUUUGAAGUCUUUAAUGACCAUUAAUCGAUAUAAACCCAAUUUAUGUAACCAUUUGUGUUAUUAAUAACCAUUAAAUGUGUAUCAAUAUCAAUAUCUCA